AUUUACUAAAAUUGAAAUAUGCAAUAGAAUCAAUUGAAAUCAAGACUGAUUUCUCACUCUUGGAAAUCACUGUUGCACUCUGUGGAAGGCUUCUUUAAGAUCUGCCAGCACCAUUCUACUCCUUUGUCCCUGAGGGCAGUCUUCCAUGGAAUUCCACUGACUCUCUCCCUGAAGAUCGGGAAGUCUGGAAGUUAGGAGCCUAACCUUUCUCCUCACGUGAUCCAUGUCCCUCAGGGCUGUGAGCUCUACCAAUCACAAACACUGCACCUCAGGCUGUCUCCAAUCUUUGAUGUCUUCAGUCAGCUCACUUAGGCUGGUGCAAUGAAGUUGUGCCAUGGAUAGUGAAUUCUAUUUCCACUGAAUGGAAAUAGAAUUCCACUAGAACAAAAAAUAUUUUGUGAAAAAUCCCACAUGUUAGAUGGGAAUUCACUGAAGAAGUUCAUAAUGUAUUUUUGGAAAUGUUUGCUAGUAAAAACAGAAUAAAAUGCUCAGAGAAUCUUGGAAUGAAGAAGUGAAAGGAGUAUUUAGGGCACAGCUACUUGUUCAUUCACUGGGAUGUAAUCAAGAGGAAGUUUCUCAGCUAUGACAGCGUUUAUGUAACAGCUACCUUGAAGAUCUCUGGACCUAAAACCCCCAUCUGGUUUUGAUUUAGAGAUCCAUUGAUACAUCCAAGGCUUGUGAAAUUGUUGUCCUCUUAUGGGACAGAACUUGCAAUAUGAGUUCCUGAUGAAGACUUUUGGGCACUCUCUAAUCUAAUAGAGACAUGUAACGUGAAGCCACUAAAUACAUCUUUUUGCCUCUGAUACAUGUCAUGGAAUUAAAGUAAAUAGAUUUAAAACUCUAGAAUUGCAGAUUAUGAAAUUAGAAAGCCAUUAGUAAUCAUAUAGAGUAUUAGAGCUCUGGGGCCCAGAAAGCCAUUAUAGAGAAAUUUUUUUGAACAGAUAAAAAUAUAUUGAUUGCAUCCUUUUAUUAUUCAGUAAAGUAUUUUCAUUUGAGUGCUCUUGGCUUUUGUUCUAUCUCUUUGUGCAGCAGAGCCAAUAAUAGAAAACCUUCUAAAUUUCUUUUAAGGGAUGAGAGAAAAAAGAGAGUGUUCUAUGUCAGUGAUUUUGUGCAACUGACAUAAUAAAGUUUCA